rnacentral:rRNA from 1 species
AACGAACGCUGGCGGCAUGCCUAACACAUGCAAGUCGAACGAGACCUUCGGGUCUAGUGGCGCACGGGUGCGUAACGCGUGGGAACCUGCCCUUAGGUUCGGAAUAACUCCCCGAAAGGGGUGCUAAUACCGGAUAAUGUCUUCGGACCAAAGAUUUAUCGCCUUUGGAUGGGCCCGCGUUGGAUUAGCUAGUUGGUAGGGUAAAAGCCUACCAAGGCGACGAUCCAUAGCUGGUCUGAGAGGAUGAUCAGCCACACUGGGACUGAGACACGGCCCAGACUCCUACGGGAGGCAGCAGUGGGGAAUAUUGGACGAGGGGCGAAAGCCUGAUCCAGCAAUGCCGCGUGAGUGAUGAAGGCCGUAGGGUUGUAAAGCUCUUUUACCCGGGAUGAUAAUGACAGUACCGGGAGAAUAAGCUCCGGCUAACUCCGUG